ensembl:misc_RNA
CGCCCGCCGUGGCCACUAAAGUCCUGUAUUUAUCUAUAGAGCGGGUACAGCAUGAGCCGCGCCAGAGAGCCCUUCCCUACCCUGCCCCGCCCAUGUGCCUCCACCCUGACCUGGAGAGAACAACUGUAGGGUAAGAGAGGAGACCUCAUUCCUUCCUGGUUCUCUUUGCUUUC